rnacentral:rRNA from 1 species
UACGUAGGGGGCAAGCGUUGUCCGGAUUUAUUGGGCGUAAAGAGCGUGUAGGCGGCUUGACAGGUCUGCUGUGAAAACUCGAGGCUCAACCUCGAGAUGUCGGCGGAAACCGUCUGGCUAGAGUCCGGAAGAGGAGAGUGGAAUUCCUGGUGUAGCGGUGAAAUGCGUAGAUAUCUGGAGGAACACCGGUGGCGAAGGCGGCGAUCCUGGACCAAUAUUGACGCUGAGGAGCGAAAGCCAGGGGAGCAAACGGGG